UACGGAGGAUGCAAGCGUUAUCCGGAUUUAUUGGGUUUAAAGGGUGCGCAGGUUGUUUUAUAAGUCAGUGGUGAAAGUCUGCCGCUUAACGGAAGGAUUGCCAUUGAUACUAUAGGACUUGAGUAUGGAUGAGGUAGGCGGAAUGUGUAGUGUAGCGGUGAAAUGCAUAGAUAUUACACAGAACACCGAUUGCGGAGGCAGCUUACUAGGCCAUUACUGACGCUGAGGCACGAAAGCGUGGGGAUCAAACAGGAUUAGAAACCCUAGUAGUCC
rnacentral:rRNA from 1 species